GUGAGUCAUCGAAUCUUUGAACGCACCUUGCGCUCCUUGGUAUUCCGAGGAGCAUGCCUGUUUGAGUGUCAUUAAAUUCUCAACCUUUUCAACUUUUAUUAGUUGAUCAGGCUUGGAUAUGGGGGUUGCGGGCUUCUCAGAAGGUCAGCUCUCCUUAAAUGCAUUAGCAGAACCUUGGUUGACUAGCUCUGGUGUGAUAAUUAUCUACGCUAUUGUGAAUGCAGCUUUAUAUGGGGUUCAGUCUUCUAACGGGUCCUUUUAUUAGGACAACUUUUUGUACUAUUUGACCUUCAAAUUCAGGUAGGACUACCCGCUGAACUUAA
rnacentral:rRNA from 1 species